GAUGAAGAACGUAGCGAAAUGCGAUAAGUAGUGUGAAUUGCAGAAUUCCGUGAAUCAUCGAAUCUUUGAACGCACAUUGCGCCUUCUGGUAUUCCGGAAGGCAUGCCUGUUCGAGAGUCAUUAACAACCGUUUCGAUCCCUUUCUUUCAGAAAUUACAAAGAGGAAAAGGGUUUGGUUAUGGUGGAGGAGGGAAAGGGAGCGUUUAGCCUGUAAAAAAAGAGGCUGUGUUCCGCCUCCCCCCCAAAAUUGUACAGGCGGUCGUGUGCGCCCACGCAUCGAGGUGUUGUAAAAGCUGCCACGGCACUUUUCACCUGUGCAGUGCGAGAUUGGCCAGCCGGUUUAAAAACCCCUCCAAACAAUCAAAGGUUAACCUCGGAUCAGGUAGGGAUACCCGCUGAACUUAAGCAUAUCAAUAAGCGGAGGA
rnacentral:misc_RNA from 1 species